rnacentral:rRNA from 1 species
GUGGGGAAUCUUGCGCAAUGGGCGAAAGCCUGACGCAGCCAUGCCGCGUGAAUGAUGAAGGUCUUAGGAUUGUAAAAUUCUUUCACCGGGGACGAUAAUGACGGUACCCGGAGAAGAAGCUCCGGCUAACUUCGUGCCAGCAGCCGCGGUAAUACGAAGGGGGCUAGCGUUGCUCGGAAUUACUGGGCGUAAAGGGCGCGUAGGCGGACAGCUUAGUCAGAGGUGAAAGCCCAGGGCUCAACCUUGGAAUUGCCUUUGAUACUGGCUGUCUUGAGUUUGGGAGAGGUGAGUGGAACUCCGAGUGUAGAGGUGAAAUUCGUAGAUAUUCGGAAGAACACCAGUGGCGAAGGCGACUCCCUGGCCCAAUACUGACGCUGAGGCGCGAAAGCGUGGGGAGCAAACAGGAUUAGAAACCCUGGUAGUCC